rnacentral:rRNA from 1 species
UACAGAGGGGGCAAGCGUUGUUCGGAAUUACUGGGCGUAAAGGGCGCGUAGGCGGCCCGCUAAGUCGAACGUGAAAUCCCUGGGCUCGACCCAGGAACUGCGUCCGAUACUGGUGGGCUUGAAUCCGGGAGAGGGAUGUGGAAUUCUCGGUGUAGCAGUGAAAUGCGUAGAUAUCGAGAGGAACACCAGUGGCGAAGGCGAGUCUCUGGACAUUUCCUGACGCUGAGGCACGAAAGCCAGGGGAGCAAACGGG